rnacentral:rRNA from 1 species
GCUCAGGAUGAACGCUAGCUACAGGCUUAACACAUGCAAGUCGAGGGGUAGCAGGGUAGCAAUACCGCUGACGACCGGCGCACGGGUGAGUAACACGUAUCCAACCUUCCCAUAACUCGGGGAUAGCCUUUCGAAAGAAAGAUUAAUACCCGAUAGUACUUUUUUAGGGCAUCUUAGAAAAGUUAAAGAUUUAUUGGUUAUGGAUGGGGAUGCGUUCCAUUAGAUAGUUGGUGAGGUAACGGCUCACCAAGUCUUCGAUGGAUAGGGGUUCUGAGAGGAAGGUCCCCCACACUGGUACUGAGACACGGACCAAACUCCUACGGGAGGCAGCAGUGAGGAAUAUUGG